AGAGUUUGAUCCUGGCUCAGGACGAACGCUGGCGGCGUGCUUAACACAUGCAAGUCGAACGGAAAGGCCCUUCGGGGUGCUCGAGUGGCGAACGGGUGAGUAACACGUGGGUGAUCUGCUCCGCACUUUGGGAUAAGCCUGGGAAACUGGGUCUAAUACCGGAUAGGACCAUGGCCUUCAUGGGUUGUGGUGGAAAGCUUUUGCGGUGUGGGAUGGGCCCGCGGCCUAUCAGCUUGUUGGUGGGGUAAUGGCCUACCAAGGCGACGACGGGUAGCCGGCCUGAGAGGGUGACCGGCCACACUGGGACUGAGAUACGGCCCAGACUCCUACGGGAGGCAGCAGUGGGGAAUAUUGCACAAUGGGCGCAAGCCUGAUGCAGCGACGCCGCGUGGGGGAUGACGGGCCUUCGGGUUGUAAACCUCUUUCAGCACAGACGAAGCGUGAGUGACGGUAUGUGCAGAAGAGCACCGGGCCAACUACGUGCCAGCAGCGCGGUAAUACGUAGGUGCGAGCGUGUCCGGAUACUGGGCGUAAGAGCUCGUAGGUGGUUGUCCGCGU
rnacentral:rRNA from 1 species